GAUGAACGCUGGCGGCGUGCCUAAUACAUGCAAGUCGAGCGAACAGACGAGGAGCUUGCUCCUCUGACGUUAGCGGCGGACGGGUGAGUAACACGUGGAUAACCUACCUAUAAGACUGGGAUAACUUCGGGAAACCGGAGCUAAUACCGGAUAAUAUAUUGAACCGCAUGGUGCAAUAGUGAAAGACGGUUUUGCUGGCACUUAUAGAUGGAUCCGCGCCGCAUUAGCUAGUUGGUAAGGUGACGGCUUACCAAGGCGACGAUGCGUAGCCGACCUGAGAGGGUGAUCGGCCACACUGGAACUGAGACACGGUCCAGACUCCUACGGGAGGCAGCAGUAGGGAAUCUUCCGCAAUGGGCGAAAGCCUGACGGAGCAACGCCGCGUGAGUGAUGAAGGUCUUCGGAUCGUAAAACUCUGUUAUUAGGGAAGAACAAAUGUGUAAGUAACUAUGCACGUCUUGACGGUACCUAAUCAGAAAGCCACGGCUAACUACGUG
rnacentral:rRNA from 1 species